CCUACGGGAGGCAGCAGUGAGGAAUAUUGGUCAAUGGUCGGGAGACUGAACCAGCCAAGCCGCGUGAGGGAGGAAGGUACAGAGUAUCGUAAACCUCUUUUGUCAGGGAACAAAGACUGGGACGCGUCCCCGGAUGAGUGUACCUGAAGAAAAAGCAUCGGCUAACUCCGUGCCAGCAGCCGCGGUAAUACGGAGGAUGCGAGCGUUAUCCGGAUUUAUGGGGUUUAAAGGGUGCGCAGGCGGUCUGUUAAGUCAGCGGGCAAAGCCCGGGGGUCAACCCCGGGCCGGCCGUUGAAACGGGCAUUCUCGAGUGGGAGAGAGGUAUGCGGAAUGCGGGGUGUAGCGGUGAAAUGCAUAGAUAUCGCGCAGAACUCCGAUUGCGAAGGCAGCAUGCCGGCUCCACACUGACGCUGAGGCACGAAAGCGUGGGUAUCGAACAGGAUUAGAUACCCGGGUAGUC
rnacentral:rRNA from 1 species